rnacentral:tRNA from 1 species
AAGAUUUUAAGUUAUAAUAAACUCUAAACCUUCAAAGUUUAAAAAAUAAAUUAACUUUAUAAAUCUUA